rnacentral:rRNA from 1 species
UAGCAUAUGCUUGUCUCAAAGAUUAAGCCAUGCAUGUCUAAGUAUAAACACCUUUAUACUGUGAAACUGCGUACAGCUCAUUACAUCAGUUAUUAUUUCCUUGAAUGUCACUUACUACAUGGAUACCCGUAGUAAUUCUAGAGCUAAUACAUGCGUAGAGUCCCGACUUUUCGGAAGGGAUGUAUUUAUUAGAUUUCCAAGCCAGCCGGUGAGGGGGGCAACUCCUUCACUCUCAUGGUGAUUCAUAGUAACUUUAGCGAAUCGCUGCUCCGCAGCC